AGGGUGGGAGCUACCUGAUUAUUUAAGGACCCUUAUUUUGGUAGACGCAUAGGUGUCUUGGUGAUUCUGAGUUCCUUGCUCCCCUGGCAUUUCCAGUUCCCAUUUCUGUUCAGGACCAGUGAGUCUUGGUGGGUCAGGGGAGACUAGCUGCAUUUAUUCGGUGGUGUGCUUCACAGCGUGCUCAGUGUGCCAAUACAACAACUUCCUUAUGGUGUAGGGAGUGUUUGAUGAUUUUGGUGUGACUUGCAAUGGGUUUGGAUGACCUCCCGAGCUGUAGCUGGCCUGCCUUGUCCCUGCCAAGCCUGGGCCUGGAGAAGUGCUCAGUUUUAAAACCCUUAUUGUGCUUCAUCGGAGAGCAAUUUGAUAUUUACAUGUCAAGUUUUAAUGAUUAUGUGUCAUAAUAAAAUGUAUUUUUAUUA